rnacentral:SRP_RNA from 1 species
UUGUGCUGGACGGGGGAGGUUGCGGUCCCUUGUAACCCGAACGUUCUGCGGGGUUAACGACCGUCGGAGGUCGGCGAGAGGUCUUGGUUGCGUUGGUCUUGCCUGCGUAGAAACCUGGAUCCUCUGCAAGUGGGAGUGGGUGAAUCGAGUCAGGUCGGAAACGAAGCAGCUAUAAGCUUCACGCCUGCUGUGCAGAGGGGAAUCUAGGCGGAGUUGGCAAUCCGCCGCGCCAAGCGUUUCGCCGUUCGAAGGCGGGUGCACAA